rnacentral:rRNA from 1 species
AGAGUUUGAUCAUGGCUCAGGACGAACGCUGGCGGCGUGCUUAACACAUGCAAGUCGAACGGGGGUUACAUUGAAACCUAGUGAUAUGUAACCCUAGUGGCGAACGGGUGAGUAACGCGUGGAUAACCUACCUGUCCGACCGGGAUAACACCUGGAAACGGGUGCUAAUACCGGAUACGCUCACGGGUUCACAAGAGCUUGUGAGGAAAGGGGAGACCCGCAGACAGAUGGGUCCGCGUCCCAUUAGCUAGUUGGGGGUGUAAUGGACUCCCAAGGCGACGAUGGGUAGCCGGCCUGAGAGGGUGACCGGCCACACUGGAACUGAGACACGGUCCAGACUCCUACGGGAGGCAGCAGUGGGGAAUCUUCCGCAAUGGGCGAAAGCCUGACGGAGCAACGCCGCGUGAGUGAAGAAGGCCUUCGGGUUGUAAAACUCUGUCAUCAGGGAAGAAGAAAGUGACGGUACCUGAGGAGGAAGCCCCGGCUAACUACGUGCCAGCAGCCGCGGUAAAACGUAGGGGGCGAGCGUUGUCCGGAAUUACUGGGCGUAAAGGGCGCGUAGGCGGUUAUCCAAGUCAGGGGUGAAAACCUUGGGCUCAACCCAGGGCCUGCCUCUGAAACUGGGUGACUUGAGGGCAGGAGAGGGGAGUGGAAUUCCCAGUGUAGCGGUGAAAUGCGUAGAUAUUGGGAGGAACACCAGUGGCGAAGGCGGCUCUCUGGCCUGUUACUGACGCUGAGGCGCGAAAGCGUGGGGAUCAAACAGGAUUAGAUACCCUGGUAGUCCACGCCGUAAACGAUGGGUGCUAGGUGUAGGAGGUAUCGACCCCUUCUGUGCCGUAGUUAACACAAUAAGCACCCCGCCUGGGGAGUACGGCCGCAAGGUUGAAACUCAAAGGAAUUGACGGGGGCCCGCACAAGCGGUGGAGCAUGUGGUUUAAUUCGACGCAACGCGAAGAACCUUACCAGGGUUUGACAUCCCCUGACAGCCUAUGAAAGUAGGUUUUCUAUCUUCGGAUAGACAGGGAGACAGGUGGUGCAUGGUUGUCGUCAGCUCGUGUCGUGAGAUGUUGGGUUAAGUCCCGCAACGAGCGCAACCCUCACGUUUAGUUGCCAGCGGGUGAGGCCGGGCACUCUAAACGAACUGCCGUUGACAAAACGGAGGAAGGUGGGGAUGACGUCAAAUCAUCAUGCCCCUUAUACUCUGGGCGACACACGUGCUACAAUGGAGGGGACAAAGGGAAGCGAAGCCGAGAGGUGGAGCGGAUCCUAAAAAAACUCUCCGAAAUACGGAUUGUAGGCUGCAACCCGCCUACAUGAAGUCGGAAUCGCUAGUAAUCGCAGGUCAGCCAAACUGCGGUGAAUACGUUCCCGGGCCUUGUACACACCGCCCGUCACGCCACCCGAGUUGGGAACACCUGAAGGCAGUACGGGAGGUACUGUUGAAGGUGGGCUUGGCGAGGGGGGCGAAGUCGUAACAAGGUAGCCGUA